AUUGAACGCUGGCGGCAGGCCUAACACAUGCAAGUCGAGCGAGCGGCGGACGGGUGAGUAAUGUAUGGGGACUGCCUGAUAGAGGGGGAUAACUACUGGAAACGGUGGCUAAUACCGCUUACUAUCGGAUAACCCAUAUGGGAUUAGCUAGUCGGUGGGGUAAAGGCUCACCUAGGCGACGAUCUCUAGCUGGUCUGAGAGGAUGAUCAGCCACACUGGGACUGAGACACGGCCCAGACUCCUACGGAGGCAGCAGUGGGGAAUAUUGGACAAUGGGCGAAAGCCUGAUGCAGCCAUGCCGCGUGUAUGAAGAAGGCCUUAGGGUUGUAAAGUACUUUCAGUCGUGAGGCGGUACCGACAGAAGAAGCACCGGCUAACUACGUGCCAGCAGCCGCGGUAAUAC
rnacentral:rRNA from 1 species